rnacentral:rRNA from 1 species
UGGGGAAUAUUGCACAAUGGGCGCAAGCCUGAUGCAGCAAUGCCGCGUGUGUGAAGAAGGCCUGCGGGUUGUAAAGCACUUUCAGUAAGGAGGAAAAUCUCAAGGUUAAUACCCUCGAGGCUUGACGUUACUUACAGAAGAAGCACCGGCUAACUCCGUGCCAGCAGCCGCGGUAAUACGGAGGGUGCGAGCGUUAAUCGGAAUUACUGGGCGUAAAGCGUGCGUAGGCGGCAUGGUCAGUCGGAUGUGAAAGCCCCGGGCUCAACCUGGGAAUUGCAUUCGAUACUGCCAAGCUAGAGUAUGUUAGAGGAAAGUGGAAUUCCCGGAGUAGCGGUGAAAUGCGUAGAUAUCGGGAGGAACAUCAAUGGCGAAGGCAACUUUCUGGAGCAAUACUGACGCUGAGGUACGAAAGCGUGGGGAGCAAACAGG